AUUGAACGCUGGCGGCAGGCCUAACACAUGCAAGUCGAGCGGAUGAAGGGAGCUUGCUCUUGGAUUCAGCGGCGGACGGGUGAGUAAUGCCUAGGAAUCUGCCUGGUAGUGGGGGAUAACGUCCGGAAACGGGCGCUAAUACCGCAUACGUCCUGAGGGAGAAAGUGGGGGAUCUUCGGACCUCACGCUAUCAGAUGAGCCUAGGUCGGAUUAGCUAGUUGGUGGGGUAAAGGCCUACCAAGGCGACGAUCCGUAACUGGUCUGAGAGGAUGAUCAGUCACACUGGAACUGAGACACGGUCCAGACUCCUACGGGAGGCAGCAGUGGGGAAUAUUGGACAAUGGGCGAAAGCCUGAUCCAGCCAUGCCGCGUGUGUGAAGAAGGUCUUCGGAUUGUAAAGCACUUUAAGUUGGGAGGAAGGGCAGUAAGUUAAUACCUUGCUGCUUUGACGUUACCAACAGAAUAAGCACCGGCUAACUUCGUG
rnacentral:rRNA from 1 species